rnacentral:lncRNA from 1 species
GGCCAACUUCUACAAUUCCAUUCUCGUCCAGUGGCGUUUUGACGUCGCCUCGUUGGCGUCAUGAUGCUGCCGGACGGUGAAGGUUGAAGUUUUCUUCGAAUUGAUCUAGGCUGCUUUCAGGGUGCAUCGUUUCAGGAAUGGCGUGACUGUGGCGAACUAAGCUCGGGCCCUAGCAAGUGCGAUGGUGAGGUGGUUUGAAAGUGGUGG